UGCCCAGCAACUCCUAUCCCUACCUCCUCGUGGUACUGGCCGGGGUACGAGUAACCUUGGGGAAGAUCGGGUAACCAACCCCCGGUGAAAACUUUGGUCGUAUGCUGACAGGGAAGG
rnacentral:ribozyme from 1 species